rnacentral:rRNA from 1 species
UACGUAGGGUGCAAGCGUUAAUCGGAAUUACUGGGCGUAAAGCGUGCGCAGGCGGUUAUGCAAGACAGAUGUGAAAUCCCCGGGCUCAACCUGGGAACUGCAUUUGUGACUGCACGGCUAGAGUGUGUCAGAGGGGGGUAGAAUUCCACGUGUAGCAGUGAAAUGCGUAGAUAUGUGGAGGAAUACCGAUGGCGAAGGCAGCCCCCUGGGAUGACACUGACGCUCAUGCACGAAAGCGUGGGGAGCAAACAGG